AAUACCGUAUGAUUGCCGACUCAUGAAUUCUCGACGUUAUGUUGCGAAACGCGUGAAACGGCGAGAAAGGUGGUUAAUCACUUCCGGUCUUCUGUUCUCGCUGUUUGUUUACUAUAGGCCCAGUAGCGAUAUUUUUAUUUAGCGCUUUCUUGUAGUAUUAAAUGUGGCAUCAUCUGGUUAAAUGGUAACGAGAAAUAGAAGCAAUGUUCGAGCAGAACGUACUGGUACCCGUCUUUUGUUUGCUACCUAGGGGCCUAGGGGAGUGCCAGCUUGUGAAGCAAAUAUAUUUCAUGUUGAUUUAUUGUGAUACUGAUAAAUAAUUAAAAUAAACCAUUCAAGCUAUGUGUAAUGUGUUUGUAUGGUUAUGUUGAUGGUUAAAUAGGUUGAGAAUUGAAGCCAAAUGACCAAUUUUCGCGAAAAAGGGAUCUGCCAGUUGGUGUUACAGAAUUCAGUCAAUUUUGCUCCGAUAUUGAUAAGGUUGGUUUUGUUACAAUGCUGAGAUGUAUGGCUUUUCAGGAAAUAACACGGUUCUGGAGAAAAAUUAAUAUUUAAAAAUAGCUGCCGGUCGAUAUUUAAGGAUAUGGGUUUACUGUUCCAUGUAAUUAAAUUAAUCAUUAAAAAUAUAACCUACAAUUUUUGUUUCAAUUAAAUAAGUUAAUCUUAACAAUAAUAUUAGGCUAUUGCAUUUUUUGAUUUAAAUAAUUUAAUCUUAUCAGUUGAGGAAGAAGAGUUGGUAUUUCAAUCUAAUAAGGUGCCUAUAAAUUAUAUAAUUAUUCAUCCAAUUAUGUAACAUUAACAUUGUCUGAUCGCUUUAUUUAAUAAUACAUUUAUUAAUUUAUCAUAAAAGUAUUGUUAAUUAAAGAUGCGUUUUUAAAUGUUAAACAGGCAUGAUGUAAGAGCUAAAUCUGCUUAUUGCAGGUCUUUCUUUGGGCCUUAAUGUUAUGUAAAUUAUCAAUUAGACAUUUAUUUACAUGAAUAGACCAUAAUCAACUCUCAUGCCAUCUGAUUGCUCAGAUUUUAAAUAGAUUAGAACGGUAUGGUGGUAAAUUUUCAAUAUAUUCAAUUUGCAUUAUCUAUUUUUGAAAUGUUAUAGUUAAUAACGAGAACGACCAGCUCUUUAUCUAAAUCUUACAUAAUUCCCCUUCAAAUUUAUUUCUAUUGUUAUUGUUUUAUUUUAAUUUAGGACACAAAGAAAUAUAUUUUGGUUCUCGCUUGGAUGACGUGUUUUAAUUAUUUUUUUUUAAAAAAAAACCUUACAAAACAGUCUUGUUAAUUACCCCGGUUACACGAAGUAACUCUGUAAAAAAAUUUGACUAGAUCUAUAGGCUAAAUUGUCAAGUAUGCAAACAAGUUAAAUGUUAAUGACAUGAAUGAUAUUGGAUACCGUAAUCAUAUAUUCAUAUAAACAACAUGAUGAGAUAAAUGUAGUGCCUUACAAUUUUUAAAAACUCAUCUGUUACAAACAAGUGAUAACUUAGAGCUAAAGACUUUGUGUAGGUAUGUUUUGCCAAGCGCUAUGAACACAAUUUUUGCGGAAUUUUGGCGCUAUAGAAAUGGACGUUCAUUAUAUUUAUUUAUUUGGUUCUUCUGGAAAAAUACAUACAUCUAUUUAAACACCAAAAGUACUUGGCUGUACUGUUCAAAAGCUUAUAGUUCCAAAUUUUUAAACAAAACAUCUUUCACAUGAUUUAAUUAGCUAUUUAUUUUUAUAUCGAAGCCCGAAGAACAGGAAAUCAAAUUGGUGUGGCCAACAUUGAAAUAUCAGAUAUCAAGGAUGAA